rnacentral:misc_RNA from 1 species
UGGUGAUUGGUAAAUGUAGGGUGGUGGAGGGGAAGGAGACUGUGGCGGCGGCGAUUGGUAUUGAUAAGGUGGUGGAGGAGAUGGAGAUGGUGGUGGUGGCGGCUCUAAACAUGGUGGCGGUGGUGGCGGAACGCAAGGAGGUGGCGGUGGUGGUGAGGACAUCGGAGGUGGAGGUGGUGAAUUGUAGUAGUAAACAGGUGGCGGCGGUGAAUUGGGUGGCGGAGGGGGCGAGUUUGACGGCGGAGGUGGUGAGAAUUGCGGCGGAGGUGGCGGGGAAGAAUAGACUGGGGGCGGUGGAGAGCUGGGUGGUGGUGGUGGUGGAGACCAGACGCAUGGCGGAGGUGGUGAUGGAGAAGGAGGUGGAGAUGGUGGUGGCGGAGAAGAAUAGACAGGUGGCGGUGGAGGAGAGGGAGAUGGUGGUGGAGGCGAUGGAGGCGGCGGAGAAGAAUAGACUGGCGGUGGUGGAGAUGGUGGUGGCGGCGAGGGAGGCGGAGGAGAAGAAUGGACAGGCGGUGGUGGAGAAGGUGGCGGCGGCGGAGGAGAAUAAACAGGCGGCGGUGGAGACGGUGGUGGCGGCGAUGGAGGCGGCGGAGAGAAAACAGGAGGUGGCAGUGCCGGCACGAAUGGUGCGCACUUGAAGGAGUUGCAAUCAACGUGGUGAGAAAGGAAAGACUUGCAUUGCGCCUGAGACCGCUGCGCCGGCCUGCCAGGGAUGCAAUUACGGCGGUCGUUGAACACAGGCACCCGGAGGCACGAUGGCGGUUCGCCGUCGAAGAAAUUGUAUGAAUAAGUAAAGUUUUGUAGGUUUGGCAGCAAGCAUAUAGACUCCGGUAUCUCGCCAGAGAGCAAAUUAUGCGCAACAUCAAGCUGCUCAAGGCUAACCAUCUCGCCGAUCGUAUCCGGCAAUGGUCCGACCAGCUUGUUAAAGCUGAUGUCGAAAACAGUCACAUUCUUGAGUUGUCCAAUUGAGUCCGGCAAACAUGACUGAAGCCCGUUGUUGAGGAAUAUGAUCUCGUUG